rnacentral:rRNA from 1 species
ACAGGGAUUGCCCCAGUAACGGCGAGUGAAGCGGCAACAGCUCAAAUUUGAAAUCUGGCCCCCCCGCCCGCGGGGGCCCGAGUUGUAAUUUGCAGAGGAUGCUUUCCGGCGCAGCGCCUUCCGAGUUCCCUGGAACGGGACGCCGCAGAGGGUGAGAGCCCCGUACGGUCGGACGCGUAGCCACUGUAAAGCUCCCUCGACGAGUCGAGUAGUUUGGGAAUGCUGCUCUAAACGGGAGGUAUAUGUCUUCUAAAGCUAAAUACUGGCCAGAGACCGAUAGCGCACAAGUAGAGUGAUCGAAAGAUGAAAAGCACUUUGAAAAGAGAGUUAAAGAGCACGUGAAAUUGUUGAAAGGGAAGCGCUCGCGACCAGACUUGGGCCCCUGGGGGAUCAUCCGGCGUUCUCGCCGGUGCACUCCGCCGGGCCCAGGCCAGCAUCAGUUCGCCGCGGGGGACAAAGGCGCAGGGAACGUGGCUCCCCCACGGGGGAGUGUUAUAGCCCGGCGCGCAAUGCCCCGCGCGCGGACUGAGGCACGCGCUCCGCAAGGAUGCUGGCGUAAUGGUCCCCAGCGACCCGUCUUGAAACACGGACCAAGGAGUCGUCCUCGUAUGCGAGUGUUCGGGCGUCAAACCCCUACGCGUAAUGAAAGUGAGCGGCAGGUGAGAGCUUCGGCGCAUCAUCGACCGAUCCCGAUGGUUCUUCCCGGACGGAUUUGAGUAGGAGCAUACGGGGCCGGACCCGAAAGAAGGUGAACUAUGCCUGUAUAGGGUGAAGCCAGAGGAAACUCUGGUGGAGGCUCGCAGCGGUUCUGACGUGCAAAUCGAUCGUCAAAUAUGGGCAUGGGGGCGAAAGACUAAUCGAACCUUCUAGUAGCUGGUUUCCGCCGAAGUUUCCCUCAGGAUAGCAGUGUCGAGGCCUCCAGUUUUAUGAGGUAAAGCGAAUGAUUAGGGACCCGGGGGCGCCAUCUAGCCUCCAUCCAUUCUCAAACUUUAAAUAUGUAAGAAGCCCUUGUUACUUGGGUGAACGUGGGCCUUCGAAUGCAUCGACACUAGUGGGCCAUUUUUGGUAAGCAGAACUGGCGAUGCGGGAUGAACCGAACGCGAGGUUAAGGUGCCAGAGUAGACGCUCAUCAGACACCACAAAAGGCGUUAGUACAUCUUGACAGCAGGACGGUGGCCAUGGAAGUCGGAACCCGCUAAGGACUGUGUAACAACUCACCUGCCGAAUGUACUAGCCCUGAAAAUGGAUGGCGCUCAAGCGUCUCACCCAUACCUCGCCCUCGGGGUGGAAGCGAAGCCCCGAGGAGUAGGCGGACGUGGGGGUCUGUGACGAAGCCCAGG